ensembl:lncRNA
GUGCUCCCAUCACACUCUUCCUUCUUGUCUGUGGGAUCUCCGUGGUCACUGCAAAGUCCACCCAAUGCCACUGGGUCAGUCCUUCUGGGCCCUCAUUUGGUCGAGCACCUGGGUGCCACCUCCUCUCUGUUCCCAGAAUGUCACUGGCUGAGGCUCGGAGACCCAACCCCCCACCACAUGGAUGCACUGGCCAGCAGCCCUGGCCUCUCUGGGAUCAGGCUCUGUCCCACAGCAAACAAGGAAAAGAACAGAUUCAAACAUAGUUGUGGGGCUAGUCUGUCCACUGCAUAUUUCCUGAGCAAGGUAAUUUAUUUGGAAGAGUUGGUCUUGGCAGAGGUGUUUGAGUGCAUUUCUAUGCUCCCAUCAGUCCUUUCUGCUGAUAACUCAGCUCCUCCUACCCUGGCCCCACAUCUCCCUGACAGGCUCACAAGGCACAUCCUUCUCCUGGCGUGGUUGCAAAAAUUGCUUUUUAUUUUUAAACCCUGGGACACAAAAGCCCUACCUUUAUCAUUUGCCUGCAGUCCCAGCAGCUCCACAUAUCCUCAUUAAAUAACCACUGAUCAUCAAGUGAAUCUGACAGGCCCCAGAAGCAAGGGAGAUCCAGAUGCCUGGUGUGCCCACAGCUGGUCCCAGCUCCCUGUGGCUGCAAAAUAUGGGGGGUCUCCUCCCUGUGGGGUGGGGCAAAGGGUUGUCAGGAGCCGAAAGGAAUGGUGAGCUUGUGCCUUUCCAUUGCAACGUGGGGGCAGGUGGCUGCAAGGGCUGAGUUUAUCCCAGCCCCACCAGAAUUUAUACAGACAAACAAUAAUAAUGGCUCUUUACAGGGGGUUAUUGAGACGGAAGAGUGGCAAACUGUAUUAUGGUCUGUGCAUUUCAUAUUCCUCUUCUGAGACACAAUUUAAAUAAUGCUUUUUCAUAAUUUAUUUUUAAUCUCUGUAGCACAGACCCUGAGGGAGGAUGUCGCCAGAGCAGGAGGACUACCAGCCAUUGGUCAGAUGAGUGUGAGGAGAUGUCCAGAUCCAGCAACAGCAAUGCCCUCUCAGGGGUUCCGUGGAUGUGUGUGGGCUCACUGGAGAGAGGUGGCACUUGCUGGUGUCCCCAUAGCCCAUCAGAGAAGCAGAUGCUUCAAGGCUGGGGAAAAGUACCAUGGAACUCACAGCCCUGCAGCACAGCUGAUGCCAGGGUCCUCACCUAGGUCUGCGCUUCCCAGAGCUCUGAAGCAGCAACAGGAGGACCAGGCAUCAUUCCUGUUUGUGGAUGUUCAUCUUUCUGGUGUGCAAGAGCAAUGGCUUUGAGGAGGAACAAGAAUGCCCCUAUUCAAACAGUGGCUGUGCAAGGAGAUGUGAAGUUUCUUCUGCCUUUUCUAGGAUAUUUUAGAAAUAUCUAAGAGAAUAUUGCAGCAUGGAGCAGCUCCCUGAUUUUGUCUCCAGAGAAAUCCCCAAAGGACACAUUCACUCUGCUGCUGAUGGCAACCCCAUAAACUCAUGGACUAGUUUUCCCUGCAACAUGCCACCCUGCCUGGGCUUUACUAGGCCAGGACUAGACCCAUAGCUAAGCAAACACAUGCAGCCAUUUGACAUGAGUUUUUCCUUCAGAAAACCUAAUUAACACAUUCACAUGCAGUUUCUUCUGUCACAUCAGAAGCCAGCAACCAUGAGGACUUUGCUGUCAAAAAGUUACAGUGUGCACUGGGCCCAGAAGUGUAUUUCCUAAAGGAAAAGCAAACUGAAAUGUGAAGUUUAAAAACUUCAAAUGACUAUGAAAGGAAACUGUGGAAUAAUUUCUGGAAAGGCAGAAUUGUCAAUGAUCAUGCAAUCCACCAGGAGCUGGAGCUGAAUCCAGAAUUGCUUGUUCCAGCUAUGCAGGAAUUCCUUAUCCUGGCAAGCACUGGUCUAUGGUAACAAAUGACCCCUCAACUCUGGGCUGAAUGGCACUCAGGCUAAAGUGUUAAUAGAUUUGAGGAACCCUUGUCACUUGUUAUUGUCCUCACAGUCCACUCAUCCUUCUGCAAACAACAAGUUGCAAACAACACAGUUAGACUGCUAUCCUUGGUAAAUAUACAUACAGAUGACUUCUCCAAAGCAGUUCAUCUUUUCCCAGUGAAAUACACAACCUCUUCUUACCCAUGAAAUUGUGAUUGAAGACACCUGGGAGCCAGAUUUGUGUGAGAUUGCAAAGGAGCAAAGUUGGCAUUUGGGCACACUUCUCUUGGUUUCUUUGCUCAGGCCUUUGGUGAGCACAGAAUACAUCCAGGUAGAAAACUUUUGACUGUACAGGAUCUUUUGGGUCCAUUGUCUACCAAACAUGUCAAUGGUGUUUCUGUUGUAAUACCAAGCAACAAACAGUAAACAUGGCAAAUGAGGAAGAGGAGCAGCACAAUGAGGAAAGGAUGUGGUGAGACACUGGCACAUUGAGUGAGCUGCACUCCCAUAACCUCUAGGCUACAGGUCCUGGUAUCACAUUCUCCUUUUGGUUUAUCUACAUUUUAUUUAGUUAGGUUUUUUUAAAUCAUCAAAAUAAAAUAUAUCCAAUUUAAAAGAUGCCAUCAAAAUGUAAAGAUACAAUCAAAACAUAUUUAUUCAAAACUAUGAGAACAUAUGUACAUCUGUAACUAUUCUAAAAAUGUUCUAUAAAAUUCUAUAGAAUUCUAAAAAUGCUAUAAAUCCUAUUCUUGAAACAUCCUUCACAUGGUCAGUAGCUUCUUUCUGAGCUUGGAUGAAAGAGAGCUCUUCUGCAUUGGAGCCAAGGACUUUGAGGGUAAGGGAACAUAGGAAGUGUCCAGAGAAAUAUUCUGGGUAAGAGGGUAGCCAGUCAGACCUGCAAUGUGGAGACACAAAGUGUAACAGAGGCUGCAAUGCAAACACAAAG